GUCUACGGCCAUACCACCCUGAACGCGCCCGAUCUCGUCUGAUCUCAGAAGCUAAGCAGGGUCGGGCCUGGUUAGUACUUGGAUGAGAGGAAUAAAUUGUAUGCAUGGAGU
rnacentral:rRNA from 1 species